rnacentral:rRNA from 1 species
GACGAACGCUGGCGGCGUGCCUAAUACAUGCAAGUAGAACGAUGAAGACUUUAGCUUGCUAAAGUUGGAAGAGUUGCGAACGGGUGAGUAACGCGUGGGUAACAUGCACUGUACACACGGAUAACAUACCGAAAGGAAUGACAAUACGGGAUAAUAAGCUUUUAUCGCACGGUAGAAGCAUAAAAGCGUUUGCGGUACAGGAUGGACCCGCGUCUGAUUAUCUAGUUGGUAAGGUAACGGCUUACCAAGGCGACGAUCAGUAGCCGACCUGGUAGGGUGAUCGGCCACAUUGGAACUGAGACACGGUCCAAACUCCUACGGGAGGCAGCAGUGGGGAAUAUUGCACAAUGAGGGAAACCCUGAUGCAGCGACGCCGCGUGAGUGAUGAAGUAUUUCGGUAUGUAAAGCUCUAUCAGCAGGGAAGUUAAUGACGGUACCUGACUAAGAAGCACCGGCUAAAUACGUGCCAGCCGCCGCGGUAA